UACGGGGGGGGUAAGCGUUGUUCGGAAUUACUGGGCGUAAAGGGCUCGUAGGCGGCCAACUAAGUCGGACGUGAAAUCCCUCAGCUUAACUGGGGAACUGCGUCCGAUACUGGAUGGCUUGGAUUUGGGAGAGGGAUGCGGAAUUCCUGGUGUAGCGGUGAAAUGCGUAGAUAUCAGGAGGAACACCUGUGGUGUAGACGGCUCUCUGGACCGCAACUGACGCUGAGACACGAAAGCGUGGGUAGCAAACAGG
rnacentral:rRNA from 1 species